rnacentral:misc_RNA from 1 species
GAUGAAGAACGCAGCGAAAUGCGAUAAGUAGUGUGAAUUGCAGAAUUCAGUGAAUCAUCGAAUCUUUGAACGCACAUUGCGCCCGCCAGUAUUCUGGCGGGCAUGCCUGUUCGAGCGUCAUUUCAACCCUCAAGCCCAGCUUGGUGUUGGGAUCUGUCCUUACCGACAGUCCCCAAAUUGAUUGGCGGUCACGUCGAGCUUCCAUAGCGUAGUAAUUUACACAUCGUUACUGGUAAUCGUCGCGGCCACGCCGUUAAACCCCAACUUCUGAAUGUUGACCUCGGAUCAGGUAGGAAUACCCGCUGAACUUAAGCAUAUCAAUAAGCGGAGGA